ACACGACUACAUUAGAUACCCGGGUAGUCCCAGCCGUAAACUAUGCGCGUUAGGUGUAUCGGUGACCACGAGUUACCGAGGUGCCGAAGGGAAACCGUGAAACGUGCCGCCUGGGAAGUACGGUCGCAAGGCUGAAACUUAAGGAAUUGGCGGGGAGCACCACAACAGGUGGAGCCUGCGGUUUAAUUGGACUCAACGCCGGGAAGCUCACCGGAUAGGACAGCAGAAUGAUUGCCGGGCUGAAGACCCUGCAUGACUAGCUG
rnacentral:rRNA from 1 species